GGGCCAGAGAACUGAAAGAGGUCUGCUGGGUUUCUUGAGGUGGAGCCGCGUGGCGUGACUUACAUCCAAAUGCACUUGGAAGUCUCCAAGAGUAUGAGAAGUAAGUGUGUGCCUUGCUACUCAAAACAUUUGAAUUGAUCUUUGAAGAUGUCUGGCUAUGAAGAAAAGUAAACGGUAAAGGCUGUUACUUUCUUUGUCAGGUGUGAGAAUCCUUUGCUGGUUAUGUCUGAUGGAUUUCUUUCAAAUCCUUGUUCUGCAUCCAGGAACAUGCUCCUGUAAAAAUAUGAAUAGCUGAAGUCCCUCAAGCAAAUUGUCCCCUUCAGUUCAGUUCAGUCACUCAGUCGUGUCCGACUCUUUGUGACCGCAUGAACCAUAGCACACCGGGCCUCCCUGUCCAUCACCAACUCCCAGAGUCCACCCAAACCCAUGUCCAUCGAGUCGGUGAUGCCAUCCAACCAUCUCAUCCUCUGUUGUCCAGUUCUCUUCCUGGCCUUAAUCUUUCCCAGCAUUAGGGUCUUUUCAAAUGAGUCAGUUCUUCACAUCAGGUGGCCAAAGUAUUGGAGUUUCAGCUUCAGCAUCAGUCCUUCC
ensembl:lncRNA